rnacentral:rRNA from 1 species
AUUGAACGCUGGCGGCAUGCCUAACACAUGCAAGUCGCGCGAGCUGUAGCAAUACAGCUAGCGGCGGACGGGUGAGGAAUACAUAGGAAUCUGCCUCAGAGCGGGGGAUAGCCCAGGGAAACUUGGAGUAAUACCGCAUGAUGUCGCAAGACCAAAGCUGGGGACCGCAAGGCCUAGCACUCUGAGAGGAGCCUAUGUCUGAUUAGCUAGUUGGUGAGGUAAUGGCUCACCAAGGCGACGAUCAGUAACUGGUCUGAGAGGACGAUCAGUCACACCGGAACUGAGACACGGUCCGGACUCCUACGGGAGGCAGCAGUGGGGAAUAUUGGACAAUGGGCGCAAGCCUGAUCCAGCAAUGCCGCGUGUGUGAAGAAGGCCUCGGGUUGUAAAGCACUUUAGGCUGGGAAGAAAAAUUCGAAGCUAACAUCUUCGAUCUUGACGGUACCAGCAGAAUAAGCACCGGCUAACUCUGUGCCAGCAGCCGCGGUAAUACAGAGGGUGCAAGCGUUAAUCGGAUUUACU